AGAGUUUGAUUUUGGCUCAGGAUGAACGCCGGCGGUGUGCCUAAUACAUGCAAGUCGUACGCACUGGCCCAACUGAUUGAUGGUGCUUGCACCUGAUUGACGUUGGAUCACCAGUGAGUGGCGGACGGGUGAGUAACACGUAGGUAACCUGCCUCGGAGCGGGGGAUAACAUUUGGAAACAGAUGCUAAUACCGCAUAACAACAAAAGCCACAUGGCUUUUGUUUGAAAGAUGGCUUUGGCUAUCACUCUGGGAUGGACCUGCGGUGCAUUAGCUAGUUGGUAAGGUAACGGCUUACCAAGGCAAUGAUGCAUAGCCGAGUUGAGAGACUGAUCGGCCACAAUGGAACUGAGACACGGUCCAUACUCCUACGGGAGGCAGCAGUAGGGAAUCUUCCACAAUGGGCGCAAGCCUGAUGGAGCAACACCGCGUGAGUGAAGAAGGGUUUCGGCUCGUAAAGCUCUGUUGUUGGAGAAGAACGUGCGUGAGAGUAACUGUUCACGCAGUGACGGUAUCCAACCAGAAAGUCACGGCUAACUACGUGCCAGCAGCCGCGGUAAUACGUAGGUGGCAAGCGUUAUCCGGAUUUAUUGGGCGUAAAGCGAGCGCAGGCGGUUGCUUAGGUCUGAUGUGAAAGCCUUCGGCUUAACCGAAGAAGUGCAUCGGAAACCGGGCGACUUGAGUGCAGAAGAGGACAGUGGAACUCUAUGUGUAGCGGUGGAAUGCGUAGAUAUAUGGAAGAACACCAGUGGCGAAGGCGGCUGUCUGGUCUGCAACUGACGCUGAGGCUCGAAAGCAUGGGUAGCGAACAGGAUUAGAUACCCUGGUAGUCCAUGCCGUAAACGAUGAGUGAUAGGGGUUGGAGGGUUUCCGCCCUUCAGUGCCGGAGCUAACGCAUUAAGCACUCCGCAUGGGGAGUACGACCGCAAGGUUGAAACUCAAAGGAAUUGACGGGGGCCCGCACAAGCGGUGGAGCAUGUGGUUUAAUUCGAAGCUACGCGAAGAACCUUACCAGGUCUUGACAUCUUGCGCUAACCUUAGAGAUAAGGCGUUCCCUUCGGGGACGCAAUGACAGGUGGUGCAUGGUCGUCGUCAGCUCGUGUCGUGAGAUGUUGGGUUAAGUCCCGCAACGAGCGCAACCCUUGUUACUAGUUGCCAGCAUUAAGUUGGGCACUCUAGUGAGACUGCCGGUGACAAACCGGAGGAAGGUGGGGACGACGUCAGAUCAUCAUGCCCCUUAUGACCUGGGCUACACACGUGCCACAAUGGACGGUACAACGAGUCGCAAGCUCGCGAGAGUAAGCUAAUCUCUUAAAGCCGUUCUCAGUUCGGACUGUAGGCUGCAACUCGCCUACACGAAGUCGGAAUCGCUAGUAAUCGCGGAUCAGCAUGCCGCGGUGAAAACGUUCCCGGGCCGUGUACACACCGCCCGUCA
rnacentral:rRNA from 1 species